GAAAGCCUGAUGCAGCAACGCCGCGUGAGUGAUGAAGGCUUUCGAGUCGUAAAGCUCUUUGAUCAGGGAUGAUAAUGACAGUACCUGAAAAACAAGCCACGGCUAACUACGUGCCAGCAGCCGCGGUAAUACGUAGGUGGCGAGCGUUGUCCGGAAUUACUGGGCGUAAAGGAUGCGUAGGUGGAUAUUUAAGUGGGAUGUGAAAUCCCCGGGCUCAACCCGGGAACUGCAUUCCAAACUGGAUAUCUAGAGUGCAGGAGAGGAAAGCGGAAUUCCUAGUGUAGCGGUGAAAUGCGUAGAUAUUAGGAGGAACACCAAUGGCGAAGGCGGCUUUCUGGACUGUAACUGACACUGAGGCAUGAAAGCGUGGGUAGCAAACAGGAUUAGAUACCCUGGUAGUCC
rnacentral:rRNA from 1 species